AAGUCAUAACAAGGUUUCUGUAGGUGAACCUGCAGAAGGAUCAUUAGUGAAUUUCACGGCCUUCUCUCUCUGAGAGUUGGCCAAUCUUCUCUACUAUCCAACCCAGACUACGGAGGGUGAACAUUUAGUGAUCCUGUCCGGAUUGGCGCUAAGUCGUUGAUACUUUCGAGUGUCGACGACUUGGUUCCUAUUUCAACUCUUCAAAAGCAUAGAAUGAUAAAACAUUGUCUUCGGACAGAAACAAUAUACAACUUUUGACAACGGAUCUCUUGGUUCUCC
rnacentral:misc_RNA from 1 species